AUUUAAAUAGUUUAUAAAAAUGUCGAUUUGUGGUGUCGGAGAUAUGAAAAACUUUCAUUUUAAAUCA
rnacentral:tRNA from 1 species